AGUGAACGCUGGCGGUAGGCCUAACACAUGCAAGUCGAACGGCAGCACAGUAAGAGCUUGCUCUUACGGGUGGCGAGUGGCGGACGGGUGAGGAAUACAUCGGAAUCUACUUUUUCGUGGGGGAUAACGUAGGGAAACUUACGCUAAUACCGCAUACGACCUACGGGUGAAAGCAGGGGAUCUUCGGACCUUGCGCGAUUGAAUGAGCCGAUGUCGGAUUAGCUAGUUGGCGGGGUAAAGUCCCACCAAGGCGACGAUCCGUAGCUGGUCUGAGAGGAUGAUCAGCCACACUGGACCUGAGACACGGUCCAGACUCCUACGGGAGGCAGCAGUGGGGAAUAUUGGACAAUGGGCGCAAGCCUGAUCCAGCCAUACCGCGUGGGUGAAGAAGGCCUUCGGGUUGUAAAGCCCUUUUGUUGGGAAAGAAAAGCAGCAGGUUAAUACCCCGCUGUUCUGACGGUACCCAAAGAAUAAGCACCGGCUAACUUCGU
rnacentral:rRNA from 1 species